rnacentral:rRNA from 1 species
GACGAACGCUGGCGGCGUGCUUAACACAUGCAAGUCGAACGGAAAGGCCUGCUUUCCCUUGUGGAUUGCGGGUACUCGCGUGGCGAACGGGUGGGUAACACGUGAGUGCUCUGCCCCCAACUUGGGUAUAAGCCUGGGAAACUGGGUCUAAUUCCCGAUCGGACUGCAGGGUGGUGCCUGUGGUGGAAAACGAUUUUCUAGUGGUUGGGGAUGAGCUCGCGGCCUAUCAGCUUGUUGGUGGGGUAAUGGCCUACCAAGGCGGCGACGGGUAGCCGGCCUGAGAGGGUGGACGGCCACAUUGGGACGGAGAUACGGCCCAGACUCCUACGGGAGGCAGCAGUGGGGAAUAAUGCACAAUGGGCGGAAGCCUGAUGCAGCGACGCCGCGUGGGGGAUGACGGCCUUCGGGUUGGAAACUCCUUUCGACCGCGAGGAAGCCACCUGGUUGGAAGGGUGGUGACGGUAGUGGUAGAAGAAGCACCGGCUAACUACGUG